rnacentral:lncRNA from 1 species
GCAAGAUUGGGAAAAGAUGAGAAUGAGAAGUCUUCAAGCGUACCUCUUAAACCCGACUCUGUGAGGUUUAUUCUGAUGACGCUCCCUGCAUGGUUGCAGGAUAUUCCGUACCAUUUGCAUGGACUGGCUUCGGUUCCAAGGUGGGUAGAAGAAUUGGUGAAGUUGUUAGGAUAAAGAGUCCACGAAAGGAGGGAGGAAUGGUUAUGGGUGUGAAGGGUAGCUUUCCAUUUGAGGAGAGUUUGUGUUUCUUCAUUAGAAUAAGAAGAAACAUGAUGUGAAGCAAUGAACAUAACCAAGAAGAGCUGGGAAACAAGGGAGAGCAUUUUCUGUAAGGUUGAGAACGCCAUGUAUAGUUUUAGUUGAUACAUAGCAUAUGCUGCUUCACAUCUUCAUUUAUACACAUUUGGUUCCUUUGGUCCGUCUAGGUAUCUGUCUUAUUCACACGUAUGGGAGGGAAGAAAGUUGUAUUUUAAUGUCAAGAUUAAGGUCCAUUACGCAUUACUGUUUUAUUCUUUCUUUUUUCCAUAGGAAGCUAUGUCAUUAUGGUGAUGGAAGUCUUCUCUUUUUUCAAAUGAAUGCUGACCCUGAAGGUUGGUUGGAAUUAACAAUGUCUUUCAAGCGUUUUCAAAAAUAAUUUUCUAUUUUUUAAAAUAAAAAAAUAGGAAAAUAUGUUUUGCAAUUAGCUAUUUUCUAUUAUUAAAAUUAGAAAACUGUUUUCUAUUAUUAAAAAUAGAAAACACGAUAUUUUCAAACACCAUCUUUGAAUUAUUUUUACUUGUUUUUAAGGGUUGUUUAAAAAAAAUAAUUAUACAAAUAUGAAAAAUGAUUAAAAAUAAAAAAAUAGAUAUAAAAAUUAUUUUUAAAACAUAUUUAAGAAUAUUAAAAAAUAAGUUAAAAAUAUUUCAAAUUUUUAGAUAGAAUUUUAUUUUACAAAACAUCAAAAAACAAUUUUAAAAACUUUGACAAAAAACUAUUUUUCAUAAUUGUUUUUAAAAACAGUUGCCAAGCAUAGCUUAAUCCUUUUUGGGUCUUGACUUCUAUUUGUAUGAUCAUAGUGCUCUUCCCUUUUUAUUCUUAGCAAAAUAAAACAAACUUGAAGGUUUGUUUUAGUUAAAUAAUUGCAAAAAAAAAAAAAAAAUGUUAGUACUUCAUAUUUAAUCACUUAAGUUGAUUUAUUAAAACUUAGGUGGGUUUUUUUUUUUUUUUUUUUUUUUUUUUUUUUUUUUAAUUUUUUAAUUUUUUUAGUUAUUUAAUAUCUAUUUGAAAUAAAUAUUAUAUUGCAUCUUAAUAUUUGUUAUUAAAAAAAUAUGAUAUGUCACAUAUUUAUUAUUAUUUGAAAAUUGCACUACAAUUCAUAAUUUAAUAGAAAAUUUUAAUUUUAUAAUUAAACUAUUUAAGAUUUAUAAAUAAAAAAUAUUAUAUUAUACAAUUAAAUAAACUGAACAAUUUGCAUAAAUUAAAUAGCAUAUUAAAUGAUAUAUAUUAGUAUUUUGCUGUCUAUUUUAUACUUACUUUUUAGUCAAAUAAAUUACACUUAAAUUAUUGUUAACGAUAUUUAAUACAAAUUUAAUGCUAAACUGGAUCUCAUGCUUGUUAGGUUAUCUCUAUGGAAGAAAACACCCUAAGGUCCAUCCUAGAAAUCCUACGAUUAGUCCCCAACACUUCUUUUUACACUCAAACUCAGAACUUGGAGUAGAGUUUGAGUUUUUCUUAAAAUGAGAAACAACAUUGUUAAAACAAACAGUACAUAGUCAGGAUUGAGGAAACAAAGUUUUUUCUAUGUAGCCUUCUUGAGUUUGAUUCACUCUUAUGGUGAAGGUCUUUCAAUUGUUUGUGUCUUGUGUGAUUUGAAUACCUGUUGAUUCAAGUGGUUGGGUGGCAAUUUCUACCAUGUAUUCUUUAUUUCAUUUGGAAAAGACCAUGCAUUCAACAAUUGUCUGCGCCUUUUGAAUGCUCGUUGAUUCAAGUGGUCGGGUGGCAAUUCCUACGAUGUAUUCUUUAUUUUAUUUGGAAAAAAAAAUGCAUUCAUUAGUGGUGUGUUCCUUUUGAAUACUUGGUGACUCAAGUGGUUGGGUGGCAACUACAUUAGUGUAGGUUAUCUUACAUUUUCGUUGUGUCCCAUAAAAUUGUAGGACCAAACAAACCCCUCGUAUAAACACAGUAUUCUUAUUGUGUCCUAUAAAAUUAUGAAACCAAACAGACAAAUAUUGAUCAUGAUUAUAUGACCAAAUACACAUAUACUCAUCAUGGGACCAUAGGUUUACAUGAUCAAACAAAUAAAUAUCCUUUAUGAUUAUAGGAGUAAAUACAAAGACACUCAUCACGGGGUAAUACAAACCCCACAUCCGGGUUGUAAAUUGACUAUAUAAUUUAUAAUGACCCAUUCUUAAUAGUGCAUAUAUUAUCCACUUUUGAUUCAAAGAGAAUCUCAUAACUUUAAAAUAUGUUUAUAUUAUUAAGAAAAAUUCAUACUUAUAUAACGUCAUAAACUUUCUUCCCUAUUCAAUGUGAGAAGAUAUCAUAAUUGUCAUGAGAUGGGGAUGAACAUGGUUUUGAGGGCUAGUCUUGUAAUCCUAUUAUUCCUAUCUUAUUGAUCCUAUAAUAUUCCUAUUUACAUGAAAUUUUUUUGAGACCUGAUCCAUGAGAGAACGGAGACUUGGAGAAGUCUCCCACUCCCUUUGAAGGAGCUAUUAUUAGGGGAAACAAUGAUAAGUUUUCCACUAUUGAAGGCACUUGCCUGCUCUCAAUUCGGAGAAAAUGCACUUCUGGGUUUUGAGCUGACUGCAUUGACUUGAUACAUGUUUGUAAUAAUGGCUGAGCUGAAACUUACGAUUAUUAUGCAGUUUUAUUGUUGCCAAAACUUGUUGGAUAUACUGGGGAUGAACAUAACUUGUAAUCCUUAUAUUUUAUGGUAUCAGCUGUGGUAGAUUGGAAGUUUUUGUUUUGUCCCUUGAUAUCCAUCUUAGGCUUAAUUUUGGUGCUAUGCAUUCUUGAAAACCAAGCUGAUUGUGACUACCAUAUAUUUAGUGGAUGGCCUUGUUUUUGUUGCAUGUAUCAGUUUUGGUGAAAAUUUUGGACUCUCACUUGUAGAAUUAGAAAGGAAGCUUCGGGGAUUUGGUAUUUCUUUUUUCUUGUUUGAUCAAUCCAUUGAAGCUCACCAAAUUUGACCCUUUUUAAUGGGUCACACCUCAGCUCUUCAUAAGUUUAUGGUGGGCCAGGAUUUGCCUUGGUUCCCUUUACUUUCGAGUGUAUAUGUAGCCUUUUUUUUUGUUUUAGUAUGAAAAGGCUAAUCACAUGAUCUUAUUCAGUUUUUUAACUGAAAAUGCUAAUCACAAUAGCUUCAUAAUAAAGCUAACCAGGGUAAAGUUUUUACCUUAAAACAAGUGUUGUAGUAGAAAACGGUACUAUAUGAGCCUAAAGAAGUGAUCUUGAAGUCAGUGUUGAGCAAGUGAAGGCGAACUUUAUUUAUAUAUUGGCUCCAAAUCCAUGCAUAUCAGUGGUUUGGACAUUCCGAUGUGGGGUAUUAAGUGGUGUUUUUAGGAAACUUGCCCAAAGUUGGAGGCAGUUUUUGACAGUCCCCUUCAUAUACUUCUUCCAUGACCCAUCAAGUGGAACCUUUGAAUUUGCACAGCGGCCACAAAGCACAAAUUUUCAGAGGCUUCUAGCUAGUUAAUCUUUUAGAUUUCCCCUCAUGAAAUCAACUACUACUUGAAGGAAUAAACCUCCCUACUUAUAGGUACCUAGGAAGGCUCCAAGUCUAUACAUAUCCAAUGUAAAAUUCUAAGAGUUGUUAUCGUGCUACUGGAACAGAAACAACAAAAAAUGAUCCACCAUCACAGUUUUAAGUUAUCAAUAAAAUCCAACCAAGAACAAUUCUGCCUUCUUAAAUGGGGCUUUAUACCAUUCCAAAUUCCAAUAAUGAGAUACUUUUGAGUGCUGUGUAAUUUGGAGUAUAGUUCUUCUUCAACUUUUGGUUGGGGAGAAUUCUUCUAUUUCUCACUCCGCAAGCCAUGAAAAUAAGCAGAGGGAAGUCAUGCUGUAUACUGUACCUUCCUCCAUCUUUUAUCAAUACUCUUCACCUUCCAAUACAAAAGGAGCCUUUUUCACAAAAUUUUGAAGCCCCAAGCGUAGCUAGGGGUGUGACUUAGGUAGGUUGAUAGUCAAUUUAAACUUAACUCAAAAAUAAAUCACAUUUGUGUGAAGCUCAAUCCAACUUGAUGUAUAAGUAUAACUUGAGUUUCCUAACCUGAGCUUAACCUAAACCUUUUUUUAAAAACUCCGAUUGAAAUCGGAUUAAGUUCGGAUUAAAGAGAAAUGUAUGAGUUAGUGAUUAGAUCAAAACUCAAGUUGAGUCAACUCAGGUUGACUCCAGGGAAAGAGAUGUAUAAUAAAUUAGCGAGCCAAAAGAAAGUUUGCGUAUGAAAGUUAAUAUCCCACUAUGUACAAGAACAAACCAUUAAUCUCAUUGUUUAACAAUGCUUUAUCUAGAACAUCAAAUCUCUGAUGUUCAAGCCUUCAGUCCUCUUAUCCUUGCACAUUGUCAGCCGGUACCCGAGGUGCAAUUUUCUAUUCACCCACAAAAAGUCUUUUUGAUAUUUUUCCAAUCUUCUACCCAUUUUCCAAGGCAUCACAAAAGGGGACUUGCAGUAUACAGAGAGGUUAGAGAGGGUUACUCUUAAGUGAGAGUCAAUCCUGCCCUUUACCACACCUACACCACCUUAUCAUUCACCUUUUUCAGCCUAUUGGCCAAGACCUUUGCUAGGAGUUUAUAGAAGUUUUUACUUCCAAAAAUACACCAUACAACUAAGAGCGUUUUAUUUUUACUUUGAUAUCGUUCUGAAUUACACAUUGGUAGACUCUGUGAGGUUUAUUCUGAUGACGCUCCCUGCAUGGUUGCAGAAUCCCAUACCAUUUGCAUGGACUGGUUGCCGUUCCAAGGUGGGUAGAAGAAUUGGUGAGAAGAGCUUGUGUUUCUUCAUUAGAAUGAGAAGAAACAUGGUCUGAACAAAUUAACAUAACUAAGAGGAGUAGGGAAACAAGGGAGAGCAUUUUCUGUAAGGUUGAGAAUGCCAUAGCUUUAGUUGAUAAAUUGCAUAUGCUGCUUCACAGCUUCAUUUAUACACAUUUGGUUCCUUUGGUCCUUCUAGGUGACUCUUGUUCGCACGUAUUCCCCACAGGAAAGAAAGUUGCGUUUUAAUGUCAAGAUUGAGGUCCUUUAAAGCAUGGCUCCUUUUUCUUUCUUUUUUCCAUGGAUUGCACUGUACUAGUAUGGUGGUCUUCCUACGUGAUUAUUGUAGGGACCCCUCCCCUUGGGAAACACGUGGCACGCAGCUCAUAGUGACACGUGGCACGUGUUAUCAUCCGGACCAUCAUUACCCGGAUUCCCCUAAGGAUAUGCAUGGUGUAGACAUCCUAUCCGGACCGCCUCAAGGAAAGGCAAACGACGUUUCAUCUUCUCCUAUCCAAGGAAGAGCAAACGACGCUGGCAGAGCGUACACAUCCGGAUAGUCUCCACAACACAUCCGGAUAGUAAGCAUGAGCCAUCCGGAUAUAAAUCUUCUGGAUGGUCAAUUAAAGUAAAGCGAGUCUUACACGCAAUCACAACAAGCAGCCAUGGCCCACAUCCCAUCACCUGCAGAAUGGGAAGACAAGAGGAAGUGACAGCAAGUCACUUCCCACGAUCAUUCUGCAUAAUCGCUUCCCACGAUCUCUGACGGCCGCAUCACCUACCAUAGUCUCUGACAGCCAUUCAUAGGAUGAUAGUGCUCCUACUAAUACCUAUUGUCAUCAUCACAACAGAAAAGAUCUCCUCACCAUUAAUGAGAGGAACAGUACCCCUGAAGCUGGAUAUAUAUACCUUCGCACGAAGAAGAAAGGGGGCUGCUGGUAACCUCUUGAUACCUAAAAAAGGCCAACUGAUUUAUAUAUCUCUUUCUCACCAUGGCUAACAAAACCAUCGGAGGGUGCGUCCGGACACCCUGUCCGGAUGCCUUUUGCAGGUGCAACCACUGAAUCAAGAACCCCUUGUGUGUUGAGAAUCACGUGUCCAUCCAUAUAUCAGCAACGUGGACCAUCGGAUACGCGAGGCGACAACAAUUAUGGUGGUUGAAAUCUUCUCUUCUCUUCUCUUUUGGCAAAUGGAUGCUGACCAUAUGAAGGUUGGUUGCAAUUAAGGUCUGGUAACUGUUUAACAAUUUUUUGUUUUAUAGAAUAAAAAAAUAAUUUUUUUUUCUAUUAUUAAAAGAAGAAAACAUGGUGUUUUCAAAUAAUAUAUUUUAAUUGUUUUAGUUGAUUUUAGUUAUUUUUAAGGGUUGUUUAAAAAAAAUAAUUGUAUGAAUAUGAAGAAUGAUUAAAAAUAAAAUAAUAGAUAUAAAAAUUAUUUUUAAAACAUAUUUAAGAACAUUAAAAAUAGGUUAAAAAUAUCAAGUUCUUAAACAAAUUUUUAUUUAAUAAAAUAUUAAAGAAUAGUUUUAAAAGCCUUUUUGAAAAACUGUUAUUCAUAAUUGUUUGUAAAAAUAGUUGUCAGAGCCCAAUUCUUUUUGGGUCUUUACUUUUAUCUUUACAAUCAUAGUGGUUUUUCCUUUUUAUUCUUAGCAAAAGUAAAUAAACUUGAAGGUUGGUUUUAGUUAAAUAAUUGCAAAAGAAAAUUUUAGUAUGUCAUAUUUAAUUACUUAAGUUGAUUUAUUAAAACUUAGGUGAUGUUUUUAAUAGUGUUUAAUAAUGUUAAGUAUUAAGUUGUUUAUUUAUUUUUAAAUAUUUUAUUUCUAUUAAGUAUUACAAAAUAUAAAAAAAUCAAUAUGUUGAUUUUGACAUUUAGAAAAAGUCAAAUAUUUUGAUUUUUUUUAUUUAAUAAAAAAAUUUAAGAAAUAAGUAAUAAGUUAAAGUGAAAAAAUAAAUAAUUUGAAAUCUAAAAGCAAAUUACUUUCAACAAAAAAUAAAAAAAAAGUCAUCUUAAUAAUUAAUAUUUAGAAAAUUUUUAAAAAAUGAAGUGAAAAAAAUGGAUUCUAAGUUAAUAAAUUAUUUUUAUAUGGUUUUUCAAACUUAUUUUAAUUAUUCACUUUUAUAUAAAUAUUAAAUAAUUUAAAAAUGUUAAAAUAUUUAAAUAAUUUUAGUUAUAGUUAAUUUGUUUUAUGUAUUUUAAUCAAAUAUUAGAAAAUCAUUCUUCUAAAUAUGUUUUCAUCUCUCCUUCCUUAGAACUAAAGAUAAGAAUGAUAAUUAAAUAUGAUUUUAAUUUAAAUUAUAUUUAACUUGUUGACUUAACGUUUAAUUAUUAUCUACUUUUUAAUUUUAAGUAUUAAGAUUAUUUAUUCAUAUUACUUAAUUUUUAAAAAAUUAUUAACCUCAUAUUAUCAAGUAACAAGAUUAUUUGAGAGGUAUAAGGAAGAUAAAGGGACAUGGGCUGUUCAGGUAAAAAAAAAUUGAAAUUUAGAAAAAGUUAAUUUUUUUGAGCUGUUAUUCUAAGUUAUUUUAUUUUAGGUUUUAUAGGUUUGAUAGGAUUUUAUGAUUGGACUCCAUAAUUUCCCUUUGGUCCUUUUCAUUUUUGAAAAUAUUUUUGGCCCUUUUUUUCAACAAGGCUUUUCUUUGAGAAUUCCACAAGCCCAUUUUCACUGAGUUUAGCCCACUCUAUUUAACCCAAUUUUUAAGGCCCAUUAUACACACUCACUUUGUAAGAUUGAAUCCGAGCCAUUCAUUUUAUAUUGAAACCCUAGCCCUGAGGUAUGUUUAGUAUAAUAAGAAUAGGAUAUAUAUAUAUAAUAUCAUUUGGUAGCAUAUGAUAGAUACUUAUAUUUUAGAAUAUAUUUUUUGAGAAAUAUGAUAUUUUUGAAUAUUAUCUCUAAAUAAUGUAAAUGAUUAUAUUCAAUGAACUAUAUCUUAUAUUAUAUUUAUAAUUUUUAUAAAAUGAAUAAAUAAAUAAAUAGAAAAUAAUUUUUAAUUAUUUAAUAUCUAUUUAAAUAAAUGUUAUAUUGCAUCUUAAUAUUUGUUACUAAAAAAAAAAUGAAAUAUCACAUGUUUAUUAUUUUUUGAAAAUUGUUCAACAAUUUAUAAUUUAAUAGUAAAUUUUAAUUUUAUAAUUAAACUAUUUAAGAUUUAUAAAUAAAAAAUAUUAUAUUAUACAAUUAAAUAUACUAAUCAAUUUGUAUUUUACUGUAUAUUUUAUACUUAUUUUUCACUUAAUUUUCAGUCAAAUAAAUAAUACUUAAAUUGUUGUUAAUGACAUUUAAUACAAAUUGAAUGUUAAACUAGAUCCAUCUCAUGCUUGUUAGGUUAUCGUUGGGGAAUUAAACAUCCUAAUUUUUGUGGGAUCCUCCCUAAAAAGUGCCACAUGGCUCCCUUUCCCUUGGCCAAGCAGACGGCCCCCUUGCGACACGUGGCAUCACUCAUUCCACCCGGGGGGAAUUCUGUACGGCCAACGUUCCACCUUCUCCGGAUAUUUCACAGCCGGCGCCUGCCACCGGAUGGAAGAGAAAUGCGAUUCAACUUCCCUGGUCAGACAUGUUCGGAUCCGUUGGCGACGCUUACCCGGAGUACAUUCGCGGCUGACGAUUCAGAUUCCCCGGACAACUUGACUCGUCAGACACUCGCGAUUUUCCGGAUCCAUUUCUGCCCACAAUCAAAAAGCAAACUCCGACAACACUGUCGAUCAAGUCUCCUGAACUAUCACUCAUCUUCAAUACAAGAUAUGCUUGACAAGACACUCCCAAAUAUUCUCAGAUUGCCUGACGCAUUCCCGGUACCGAAAAUUAUAAAUUGAGGUGACAACCGCCACCCGAAUACCCUUCUGACAGCCAUCACCUCGCACCAAAAGGGUCAUGAUUGCUUCACCACCCUAUGAGCCGCAAUCAUGACUAUGGGACCCACUAGCACAGCAAGGCCAUACUCUUUGACUCAUAUAUAAACUCUAAGGAGACUCUCACAAGGGAAGAGGUAAGCAUCCUUGAAGAAAAUCACGGAGCAACACUCCCAAAGAAAAAAUCUGUUUUCAAAUAACUUCCAAAAGACUAACUUAAUCAUCAAAGGGUGUGUCUGGACAACCCAUCCAGACAUCCUUUUUUGCAGGAGGAAGAACGAAUCACUGUAAUGCGUUGAUCGAGAUUCUGUUGCUGGUGAUUGCUACUGCAGUGGGGGAAUUUUGCUAUCAACAAUUUUGAUCCUAGAAAUCUCAGUAUUAAUCCUGAACAUUCCUAUUUACCCUCAAAACUUAGAACUUAGUUUAUGUGCAUAGACCUGUUUUUAUAUCAAGGUGGGUAGAAGAGUUGGCGACAUUAUUUGGAAGAAUGGUCAAUAAAGACAAGGAUGGCUUUGUUUUUUUGUGUCUGGCUUUCCAUUGGAGUAGAGUUUGUCUUCUUAGAUUGAGAAAGAGUUUGUCUUCUUAGAUUGAGAAACAAUAUGGUUAAAACAACAGUACAUAGCCAAUAGGAUUAAGGAAACAAAUUUUAAGUUGGUGACUCCAUGGUUUCAUGUGAUGUGUAGCAAAUAAUGGAUCAAUAGUCCAUUUGUAAACAUAUGAGUUCCAAUAGUCCAUUUGUAAAUAUAUGAGUUCACCAAACCUUAGACUUGGAAACUCUUUAACCAUCUCAUCAUUGGGAGAUUAUUAGGGAAGAGAAUGACUAGAGUUCUCUUUAUAUAGCCUAGUUAGUUUGAUCCACUUUUAUGGUCAAAGUCUUUGUCACUUUAUCUCAUUGAAAAAAAAAAAAAAACCUUGAAGAAUUGUAUGUGCCUUGCAUGAUUUGAACAGUUGUUGACUAGUUUUAUCCUUGGAGGAUUAUUAGGGAAAAAAGAUAUGGCUAGAGUUUUUUCAAUAUAUGUAGACUUCUUGAUUUUGAUUCACUCUUAUGGUGAAGGUCUUUCAAUUGUUUGUACCUUGUGUGAUUUGAAUGCUUGUUGACUCAAGUGGUUGGGUGACAACUCCUAUCAUGAAGACUUGAUCUCAUUUGGAAAAAAAUGCAUUCAAUAAUUUGUGCCUUGCAAGUUAGUCAGGUCAAAAAUUGGAUUAGGUCAUGUCAAGUUGACUCUUAAGGAAAAAAAAUGUCUAACAAAUUAGCAAGCCAAGAAGCCUUUGCAAUAUUUUCCAUUCACCCAUAAAAAGUCUUUCCGAAAAUUUUCCAAUCUUCUCAUUUUCCAAGGAUCAUAAAAAGGGUCGUGCAAUCUAUAGAAAGGCUUGAGUGGAUACUACUAGUGAGAGCCAAUAGUACUAUACGGCUAUACCUACACCACCUUAUUAUUCACCUUUUUCAACCAAUUUGCCAAAACCACACCUAACUUCUUUUGGCACAAAGCCACAAUUUCUAUGAUUACAAUUUGCGCUAGAGUAGUUAAUGUAGAAAGAAAGACCGAAGAAACUCAGAAGGAAUUACAUUGUGUUGAAGAUGCAGGAAGUUCGAAACCAUGCAUUAUUGGUGUACGAGGUAGAGUUCCAUGCAAAUUGUUGGGACGUCAUUUGUUUGUUUGGCCCUGGUCAGCCGUACCACCGGGACUAGCCGGAAUGGGCCGGACCAGAGUGGCCUCCCCAGGAUUCGAACCCAAGUCCAAGACUUAAGGACGUUGAGGUUGCCCUCUUGGUACCAUCUGCGCUGCAAAUUCUCUGUGAUAACAUCUGAGAAAUAAUCUUCAUGGUUGGCCUGGACUCUGGGUUGACACUUAAGCAUGCAGUUGCGAGAUUUAUGAUAGAUAUCACUUCCCCUUCAUCUUGGGCUGUGAGAGGUGGGAGUCGCGGGUCCAACAUAUCUUCCAACACGAUGUUCUCCUUCUCUGGGGAAACUGAUAGAGACAAGAUUUGAUCUCCAGGAUGUCUUCCUUUGAUAACUUCCAGUGUUAUCACUCCAAAACUAUAGACAUCGGUUUUUUCUGUGACCUUCAUUGUAUAUGCAUGUUCUGCAACAUUAGAAGAUAAAUAUUACAACGUGGACAUGUUAGAUUUCUUCGUUAAUUGAGGAGUGAACAAUACCUGGUGCAACGUAUCCGAAUGUGCCUGCAAGUGCGCUUUGAUUUGAUGAGUCUAGCUUUAGAAGCUUGGCAGUGCCGAAGUCAGAAAUAUGAGGCUCAUAUUGAGAAUCCAGCAGAAUAUUGUUGCUUGAUAUAUCCCGAUGAACAAUUGGGGGUGAGCAAUCAUGGUGCAUGUAAGACAAAGCAUGAGCCACUCCUUUAAUGAUAUUGAUCCUUGUAGCCCAACCCAAUUUUUUAGCUUCUUCUCUGCUCAACAUUGCAGCUAGGCUACCUCUUUCAAGGUACUCAUAGACCAAAAAGGAGUGUCGUGGAUGUGAACAGAAACCAAGAAGUUUCACAAUGUUCCGAUGUUUGAUUUCUGUCAGUGCCCUUACUUCAUUGAAGAAAUCCCUUUGAUUUGCCAUAUCUAUGUCGGAUGCGUAAAGCUUUUUCACAGCUACAAUAUUACCGGACGACAGCUCUGCUUUGUAAACGCUUCCAUGCCCUCCCUUUCCGAUGCAAUACAUGGGAUCAAAAUCCUUGGUGGCCUUUAUAAUCUCUUCAUACAUUGCUCUUCCAUCAAAAGUUGAUAUUGAAAAGAGAUCAUUCUGUACAUCACCUUCUUCGAUUUCUGGAGUUCUCUUUGUUCUUUCAGCAAUCAAGAAAAUUCCAAUGAAAGCAAAAAGAAGUACAAGUGCUCCCAAAAGAGGGAAUACAAUUAUAAACACAAUUUUGUGGCCCUUUUUGACAGGUUGUUGGCCUGCUCCAGAAUCAUUUUUGCAAGGUUGCAACCCUUUAACAUUGCCGCACAAAUCUUUGUUCCCCUUUAACAACUCAAUGGUUGCAUCUCGGAAUGCUUUGCUGUUGGGAAUGGGACCCUGCAAUUGAUUGUAAGAUAUGUCAAUAUCAGACAAGCCACGCAUUUCUUCGAAAGCCUUUGGGAUGAAACCGGAGAGGUUGUUAUGGGACAGAUUAAGGUUCUCUAAGCUCUCCAAACCUUCGAUUUGUGGUGGGAUUUCUCCUGAAAGCAAGUUGUGACUCAGAUCUAACUGGGAGAGGUGACUCAGCUUACCCAUCUGAGCUGGAAUUCUGUUGCUAAGUUUGUUAUUGCUCAGGUUCAAGUAAUGUAAGUUCAAGCAGGCACCCAAGUUCUCUGUUAUUGACCCAUUCAAUCUGUUUGCUGAUAGAUCGAGAUGGGCAAGACUGAACAGAGAUCCAAGUUCGGGAGGUAUACUUCCAGAAAGUUGGUUAUCAUUUAAUUUUAGCUCCAACAGAGAAGUUAAACUUCCCAUUUUCUUUGGGAUUUCCCCAACCAAAUGAUUUGAAGAAAGAUCAAGCAAAGUUAGAUUAGUUGAGAUUCCAAAAUCUUCUGGUAUGCUCCCUGUAAUAUCGUUACCGGCCAUCUCCAGCCUUUGUAGUUGUGGGCACCUUCCCCAGUUAUGAGAGAGUUCGCCAUGAAACCUGUUGUAGCUCAAAUCGAUGUAUUCCAGGUUUGGACAGUCACCAACUACCUCAGAUAUAUUUCCAGUGAGUUGAUUUCCCCCGAACAGAGCUCUGGUUAAGUUUCUGCAAUUUUUCAUGCUUUUAGGGAUGGGACCACUGAGAAGGUUGUCGCUCACUGUAAAGCGUACCAGAGAUCCACCUUGGCAAAUUCCUUCUGGUAAAGAGCCAGACAGCCGAUUUGUGUCGAUUUCUAGCACAACCAACUUAUGAAGUUUCCCAAUUUCUUUAGGAAAGUAACCAGAAAGAUGGUUAUCACGGAGGAAUAAAAUUUCUAAGUUGGUCAGAUUACCCAGUGAAGUAGGAAUGGAACCAUUGAGUUGGUUUUCUGAAAGUUCUAGAUCAACAAGAGACUUCAAGUUACCUAUUUCUGGAGGAAUGGGACCGGAAAGUUGAUUGGCAUAGAGAUGCAGGAGGGUUAGGCCACUGAGAUCACCCAAGGACGCAGGGAUUGGACCAGAAAGAUUGUUUGCGUAGAGGCUUAUACCUUGCAGAGAUGUCAAAUUUCCUAUUUCUGGUGGGAUAUGCCCGGAGAGUUGAUUGUUGAAUAGGUACAACGUGGUUAAACGUUUCAAGUUUCCGAAAGUGGAAGGGAUGAGACCUGUGAGAUUGUUGGUAUCCGAGUAUAUCUCAACAAGGUUGGCGAGAUUUCCCAUUUCUGGAGGAAUGGAACCGGAAAGUUGAUUUUCAUAGAGAUACAAAGAGGCCAAGUUGCUCAAAUUACCCAAAGAAGCAGGAAUAGAACCCUCCAGUUGGUUGGUGUACAAAGCAAGCUCAUAAAGAGAUGACAACUGACCGAUUUCAUGAGGAAUUGAACCAUUGAGCUGAUUUUGAACCAGGUGCAGGACCUCAAGGUUAGUUAAUAGGCCAAUUUCCGGUGGAAUCCCUCCUGAGAACUGGUUGGUGGACAGAUCAAGGUAUUUGAGCUUGGAGAGGAGACCGAUUUGGGGUGGGAUAGGACCAGAGAGGUUGUUGAUGCAGACAUCAACGUAUGCAAGAUUGGGAAAAGAUGAAAAUGAGAAGGCUUGGAGCGUACCUCUUAAACCGGACUCUGUGAGGUUUAUUCUGAUGACACUCCCUGCAUGGUUGCAGGAUAUCCCAUACCAUUUGCAUGGACCGGUUGCCGUUCCAUGGUGGGUAGAAGAAUUGGUGGAGUUGUUAGGAUCCGGAUAAAGAGUCCACGAAAGGAGGAAAGAAUGGUUAUGGUUGUGAAGGGUAGAUUUCCAUUUGAGGAGAGCUUGUGUUUCUUCAUUAGAAUAAGAAGAAACAUGAUCUGAACAAAUUAACAUAACCAAGAGGAGUAGGGAAACAAGGGAGAGCAUUUUCUGUAAGGUUGAGAACGCCAUGUAUAGUUUUAGUUGAUAAAUUGCAUAUGCUGCUUCACAUCUUCUUUUAUACACAUUUGGUUCCUUUGGUCCUUUUAGGUGACUGUCUUGUUCACGCGUAUUCCCACAGGGAAGAAAGUUGCGUUUUAAUGUCAAGAUCAAGGUCCUUUGAAGCAUGGCUCCUUUUUCUUUCUUUUUUCCAUGGAUUGCACUGUACUAGUAUGGUGGUCUUCCUGUGUGAUUAUGGUGGUUGAAAUCUUCUCUUUUUGCAAAUUUGGAAAUUAAGUUUAGCAGGUGUUGUUGAACAAUAUUUUUAAUUGUUUUUAGUUGAUUUCACUUAUUUUUAAGGGUUGUUUUAAAAAAAAAAAAAUUAUAUAAAUAGGAAGAAUGAUUAAAAAUAAAAUAAUAGAUAUAAAAAUUAUUUUUAAAACAUAUUUAAGAACAUUAAAAAUAAGUUAAAAAUACCAAUUUCUUAAACAAAAUUUUAUUUUACAAAAUAUCAGAGAACAAUUUUAAUUUUUUUUUUCAAAAAUUGUUAUUCAUAAUUGUUUGUAAAAAUAUUCUAUUAAAUAGAGCCUAAUUCUUUUUGGGUCUUUACUUUCAUGUUUAUAAUCAUAAUGGUUUGCCCUUUAUUAACAAACUUGAAGGUUUGUUUUAGUUAAAUAAUUGCAAAAGAAAAUUUUAGUAUGUCAUAUUUAAUCACUUAAGUGGAUUUAUUAAAACUUAGGUGAUGUUUUUAAUAGUAUUUAAUAAUGUUAAGUAUUAAGUUGUUUAUUUUUUUUUAAUAUUUUAUUUCAAUUAAGUAUUAAAAAAUAUAGAAAAAUUAAUAUGUUGCUUUUGAUAUUAAGAAAAAGUCAAAUAUUUUGAUUUUUUUCUAUUUAAUGAAAAAAUUUAAGAAAUAAGUAAUAAGUUAACAAAAAGUGAAAAAAUAAAUAAUUUGAAAUCUAAAAGCAAAUUACUUUAAAAAAAAAAGUUAAAAAAAAUGUCAUCUUAAUAAUUAAUAUUUAGAAAAUUUUAAAGAAAGUGAAAAAGAAAAAAAUGAAGUGAAAAAAAUGGAUUUUAAGUUAAUAAUUUAUUUUUAUAUGGUUUUUAAAACUUAUUUUAAUUAUUUUCUUUUAUAUAUAAAAAUUAAAUUAUUUAAAAACAUUUAAAAAUUUAUAAAUAAUUUUAAUUAUAUUUACUAACUUUUUUUUAUGUAUUUUAAUCAAACAUUAGAAAAUACUUUUUUUAAAUAUCUUUUCGUCUCUCCUUUCUUAGAACUAAAGAUAAGAAUGAUAAUUAAAUAUGAUUUAAAUUUAAAUUAUAUUUAACUUGUUGACUUAACAUUUAUUAUCUAAUUUUUAAUUUUUAAGUAUUAAGAUUAUUUGUUCAUAUUACUUAAUUUUUUAAAAAUUAUUAACCUCAUAUUAUCAAGUAACAAGAUUAUUUGAGAGGUACAAGGAAGAUAAAGGGACAUGGGCUGUUCAGGUAAAAAAAAAAAAAUGAAAUUUAGAAAAAGUUAAUUUUUUUGAGCUGUUAUUCUAAGUUUUUUUUUUUUUUUAGGUUUUAUAGGUUUGAUAGGACUUUAUGAUUGGACUCCAUAAUUUCCCUUUGGUCCUUUUCAUUUUUGAAUUUCACUGAGUUUAGCCCACUCUAUUUAACCCAAUUUUUAAGGCCCAUUGAGUUUAUAUUGAAACCCAGGUCUACUUGAUAAUAUGAGGUUAAUAAUUUUAUACACACUCACUUUGUAAGAUUGAAUCCCAGCCAUUGAUUUUAUAUUGAAACCCUAACCCAGAGGUACUUUUAGAGUCUUUAGUAUGAUAAGAAUAGGAUAUAUAUAAUAUCAUUUGGUAGGAUAUGAUAGAUACUUAUAUUUUAGAAUAUAUUUUUUGAGAAAUAUGAUAUUUUUGAAUAUUAUGUAUUUACUAUAUAUUAUAUUAUAUUUAUAUUAUUUAUAAAAUAAAUAAAUAAAUUAUUUUUUAAAUAAUAGAUACUUAUAUUUUAAAAUAUAUUUUUUGAGAAAUAUGAUAUUUUUAAAUAUUAUCUCUAAAUAGUGUAAAGUAUUAUAUAUAUAUAUAUAUAUAUAUAUAUAUAUAUAUAUAUAUAUAUAUUUAUAAAAUGAAUUAUUUAAUUAAUUAAAAAUUAAUUUUUAAUUAUUUAAUAUUUAUUUAAAAUAAAUAUCAUAUUGAUCCAAGUGAAGCUCAUCCCUUGAAUAGUAAUUCCAAAAGUGCUACAGUCAGCAAGAAAUUGCAUGAUAUGCUCUUGCUUUGCUUCUCCUGUAGCUUUAGCCUUUUCACAGAUCAUCUGUCUAAGGUUUUCAAGAAGGUCCAAAUUUUUCAGCUUGAAAAAUGAAAAUCUGGAAAUUUGACAUUCUUGGCUUUCUUGAGAAAGUUUUGAAUCUUCAUUUGGUUUUGAAAGUUCUUUUUGAAAUUCAUUUUGAAAAUCUUUUGAAAAUGCAUCUUUGGAUCCUUUUGCUUUUUUCCUGCAAAUGAAAUUUUCAAGAUCUGUAUCCAUUGGUGUGCAAUGUAUAUCAGAACUUGAAGGGUUAGAAAAACUUUCUAAUUUAUCAUUUAACUGUUUAAAAUGGAAAGAUAAUGCAUUUAAAGCUUCCAACUUUUGAAUAUCACUUUUUGCAUUCCAGAGGUUGUCUAAAAUGCAUUUUUGUGAUCUGUCUAAACCUUCAAUAUCUUUAUGAAUUCGAAAUGACAUAUUACAUUUAGGGAAUACUGGAAGAGUAAAUUUCCCAAAUGUAAUUCUUUCUUGCUCCAUCUGUAAACAAAAUUCAAAUAUUAGUAUCUCUAUUGAAGAAUAAAACAAAUAUCUAAUGAUUUUGUCUUUAUCAUACCAAAUUUGAAAAUAUAUUGAGUUUAUGAGAGGAACAUAAUUUCUAAUAAUGAUGUUAAAAUGAGGUUUUGAAUAUUUUGAAAUCACAUUUAUUGACUUAUAUGAGCAUGCACAAAUACCAUCACAAUCUUUUUGAUUAUCUGAUUCUUCUUCUAGACUUGACUCGUCACUUGAUAUUUCUUGAGUUAUAAGGAUUUGAUUAUCUUCUUCUGAUUCAUAAUUUUCACUUGAUUCAUCAUUUUCUUUAUCAAUCAUUAAUCCUAUCAUUAGAUUUUUGAGUUUAUCACUUAUUUCUAAUGAAUUGAUUUUAUUUUCUAAUUGACAAUCUCUUGAAUAAUGACCUACUUUUCCACAUUUAUAACAAGUAGGUGUUUUCUUUUUUAAAUCUGAGGAUUGUUUUUAUCAGUGUUAUGAGUGAUUUCAACUGAAUCGGUGUCUACCAGGAUGAACUCAUAGAAUUGACGAGUUUUCAAAGGAUCAUUUGAAUUAAAGUUGACUCCUUGAGGAAAGAUGUAAGGAAGAAUUUUAGGAAUCUCUUCAAAAUUGAACUCUGGCUCAAUGAAAGCAAUUUCUAAUGUUUUGGGUUUUUUGACAUAUUGACUAUAGGAAUAUGAAGGAGAAGGAAACUGAGAAGGAGAAGGUAAUGUUGAAAUAGUGUUGGGGCUUGAUUUACUCUGAACAACAAUAUUUUUAGGGGAUGAUUUAGAAGCUUGAAUAAAACUUUUUGAAGGUUGAAGAGGAGGAAAAUCUGGACUCAAAACUUGAAAAGAAUUUGAUGUCUGCAAAGGAAAAGUAGGACGAACAUUUGAAAAGUUUGAAAUCAUAGCAUAUGAUGCUUUGGUUUUCUUGGAUGAUGAAGGAAGUUGAGGCCUAACGGGAGUACCCAUUAGGAUGGAGAAGGAUCCUUACCCUGCAAAAACUCCCGAGUAAGGAAGUCAGGAAGGGAAUUCAACUCUCCUUUGAUAAAUUCGAUUUCAAAAUCAAAGUUUGAAAGUAAAGCUUGCCAUCUUGCAAAAAUUUGUUUUGAAACCAAAUUUUUAACAUCUUUUUGUAAAAUAUCUUUUGCAGCUUUGCAAUCGAUUUUCAAAAGAAAUUUCUUGUUUAUCAAAUCACUUUGAAAUUUUGAAAUACACAAAACUAUUGAUAAAACUUCUUUUUUGACAGUUGAAUAAUUUAUUUGAGCGCCCAACCAGAUCCCUGAAUGAUAUCUAACUAUAUGCACUUGAUUGUUAUAUUCUUGCUUUAAUAUGCCUCCAUAACCUAAAUUAGAUGCAUCUGAUUCUACAAUGAGUAAUGCAUUUGGAUGAGGAAUGCUGAUGCAUGGUAAUCUUUUGACUCUUUGUUUAAUUUCUUUAACCAGACUGGUAUGAUGCUCAUUCCAUGCAGGUGCAUUUUUUGUAAGUCUUUUGUAUAAUGGUUCACAAAUGAUUCUCAAAUCUUUGAAGUAAUCAGAAACAUAAUUUAAACAUCCUAGAAAUCUUUGCAAUUGUUUUUUAUCUUUUAUUUCAUCAGGAAAUUUGUCAGCGAAUUCUAUUGAUCUUUGAAUCGGUUUUGUUUUUCCUUGAAAAAUUUCAUGACCUAAAAAUCUGAUUUUUGUUUGAAACAAUUUCAUUUUUGGAGCAGAACAAGCCAUUCCAUUUGCUUUAAUGACAUUAAAAAACUUUUUCAAAUGAAUAAAAUGUUUUUCUAAUGAAUCAGAAAAUACUAAAACAUCGUCAAUAUAUACAAUGAUGAACUGAAAAUGAGGAUUAAAAAUAUCAUUCAUAAUAUUUUGAAAUUCAGAAGGGGCAUUUUUGAGACCAAAAGGCAUGACAUUCCAUUCAUAAUGACCAAAAGGGACAGUAAAAGCAGUUUUGUACCUAUCUUCUUCUUUAAUUUGAACUUGCCAAAAUCCUGAUUUCAUAUCAAAUUUUGAAUAAAUGACAGAACUAUGAAGUCUUUUAAGUAAAUCUUGCUUAUUAGGAAUAGGGUAUCUUAUCCAUUGUAAUACUUUAAUUAAAGGUUUAUAAUUAAUGACUAAUCUAGGUGCUCCUCUUUCUAUCUCAGCAGCAUUUUGAACAUAAAAAGCAGCACAACUCCAAGGAGAUUUUGAGGGUCUAAUUAAUUUCUUCUUUAAUAAUGAAUCAAUUUCUUGUUUGCAAUAUUUCAAAAGUUUUUCAUUCAUUUGAAUCGGCCUAGCCUUAGUAGGAAUUUUGGACUCAUCAAAAUUUUGAAUGUAAGGCAAACUUAUCUCAUGUUUCUUUCUUGACCAAAAAGCAUUAGGAAGAUCAGAACAAAUUUCAUUUUGAAAAAGAUCUUGAAUCUCUUUAAUUUUCUUUUGAACUUUAUCUUCUAAGAGUUGUUCAUCUACCUUUUUAUAUUGAAUUUCUUUUGAUAGAUAAUUUAUAUGAGCUUUCUUUCUUUGAAUUAAAUUUAUGUUCUUAUUUAUUGAAUCACUUUGAACUUGAUGUAUUUCUUUUUUAGUUAAUGGAUAUAUAAAGGGAAAAAAUAUGGUAUUUCCUAAUAUUGUAGUUUUGACACCUUCAUCAUUUACUUGAAAAGGGUAAAGUAAGGUAAUAAAAGGAGUUCCUAAUAUUAGAGGUUCAUUCAUAUUUUGUACUAAUAUAAAUUGAGUUCUAAAACAAUAAUUAUCUUGACAUAUAUGAACAUUUUGAAGUUUAUAUUUUAUUUCUAAUUUUCCUUUAUUUGCAGCAAAAAGUUCUUGUCCUGUUUUUUCAUAAUAUUUAGUAGGAAUUAUUCCUUCUUGAAUACAAUUCAUAUCAGCUCCCGAGUCUAUUAAUGCUACUAUUUCUAUUUCAAAAUCUUCAACUAUAAUUUUUAUAUUUGUAUACCAUCUUUGAAAAUAUAUUUUUGAUAUUGUAUUUAUAAAUGAUUCUAUAGGAGUUAUUUUAUUAGGUAUUAUUAUUCCUGGUUCUUGNNNNNNNNNNNNNNNNNNNNNNNNNNNNNNNNNNNNNNNNNNNNNNNNNNNUAUUUGAAAAACCAAAGGAAAAAAGGAAUAGUCAUCUUAACUUGUUGCAUAUAUUUUUCAUAUUGUUUUCUUAAUGCAUUUCUAACUUGAGGAGGAAGUUGUUGAAAAUAAUUUCUUUUUGCCGUAUUUUCAGGAGAAAAAUAAUUUGCUUUAAUUAAUUCUACUUCAGGAACAAAAUGAUUUCUUUUAAUGUAUUUUUUCUAAUGAUAUUUAUGUUUAAAGGAGGUUUAUCUUGAAAGAAAAUUUUUGACUCAGACUCUUCUUCAAAAAGAGAAAUUUCAGGAACAAAGUUUGAACUAUUUUUUAGUUGAUUUUCUAUUUGAUUUAAUUCUUCAUUAAAUUUUGAAUUAUUAAAUUUUAUAUGAUGACUCCAUGAUGAUGCAGCUACUGAUGCAGAUGAUGAUGCAGUAGAUGCAUUGAAAAUCUCAUUAUCUUAUAUGAAGAACUUUCUAAAUUAUAUGCAGAAUUAUUUAAUGCAGAUGCAGAACUUUCAUGGGACCUAAGAGAUCUGGAAGAACUAUUUCUACUUAAUUCCCUAAUAAUAUUACUCAUUGUCACAGAAAAUAAUCACAAUUUUAUCCUUAAUCAAUUCAGAUAAUUUCCUGAACAGGGACCACCACAAGCGGAUCAACACGGGACUUACGCUCCUUCUGCCCUUAAACACCGCUUAUCACAGGCUGACCAAACCGUUCACAGGAAAUUCAACCCGAACUAAGUCAGGACUAAAUCUGCGAUUAAUCACUGUUCCAACUCGUAACAUCACUCGGUUCUCAAGCAGAAAAUGGCUCUGAUACCAUUUGCACCCAGGACAUACAACAGUUCGUGCAUGCAAUAAUUAAGUAAUAAUUAAGCAAUAAUUAGCAAUAAUUAAAUCUGUCUAAUUAUCUCCAAGCAUAAAAACUGAAAUAUUUAAUGUCUAAUACUGUCUAAUUUAUUGCAGAAAUUUAAGCAUAAUAAAACAAAUAUUUGAAUCUGAAAAUAUUGUUUAUUGAAAAUAUACCUUGAUUACAGAGAGCUGAUGACUACAGGUUGUUGACAGCAGAGGAAUGACUCUAAUUCAAAAAGAAAAUUACAAAAGAAAAUUUUUGAACUCUCAGAAAUUUUUUGAAACUAUCUCUUGGCUGUUGGAACUCUCCCAACUCUUGGAACUCUUGAACCCUUGCCGACCUCUCACCCUAGCCGACCUCUGCCUGAUGAAGAAGGUUGAAGCUCCUUAUAUAGGUGAGGAUUCGGACUUUAGAUGAAUCUUCAAUCUUGAAAGUUUUGGAAUUUCAUCACAUGUAGGCCAGGUGGAGCAUUCUGCAGAAGAAAGAGUGAGGGAAGAUUUCAAAAUAUUCAAAACCUCAUUUUAACAUCAUUAUUAGAAAUUAUGUUCCUCUCAUAAACUCAAUAUAUUUUCAAAUUUGGUAUGAUAAAGACAAAAUCAUUAGAUAUUUGUUUUAUUCUUCAAUAGAGAUACUAAUAUUUGAAUUUUGUUUACAGAUGGAGCAAGAAAGAAUUACAUUUGGGAAAUUUACUCUUCCAGUAUUCCCUAAAUGUAAUAUGUCAUUUCGAAUUCAUAAAGAUAUUGAAGGUUUAGACAGAUCACAAAAAUGCAUUUUAGACAACCUCUGGAAUGCAAAAAGUGAUAUUCAAAAGUUGGAAGCUUUAAAUGCAUUAUCUUUCCAUUUUAAACAGUUAAAUGAUAAAUUAGAAAGUUUUUCUAACCCUUCAAGUUCUGAUAUACAUUGCACACCAAUGGAUACAGAUCUUGAAAAUUUCAUUUGCAGGAAAAAAGCAAAAGGAUCCAAAGAUGCAUUUUCAAAAGAUUUUCAAAAUGAAUUUCAAAAAGAACUUUCAAAACCAAAUGAAGAUUCAAAACUUUCUCAAGAAAGCCAAGAAUGUCAAAUUUCCAGAUUUUCAUUUUUCAAGCUGAAAAAUUUGGACCUUCUUGAAAACCUUAGACAGAUGAUCUGUGAAAAGGCUAAAGCUACAGGAGAAGCAAAGCAAGAGCAUAUCAUGCAAUUUCUUGCUGACUGUAGCACUUUUGGAAUUUCUAUUCAAGGGAUGAGCUUCACUUGGAUUUCUUGUUAUGACAAUACUUAUAAUAAUUGUCCAAAGACCGAUCCCUUGUGUAGAGAAAUUCCAUUAGAAAGGCAUGACUGUAAGUGUGCUCUUACUUACAGUAUAUGCAAAGCCAACAUUAACCUAGACAGUUAUAAACCAAUAGUCAGUCAAUAGAGUUAACUCCAUCCCUCCUCAUGGACUAUGGAGUUCUUUAUCAAUUGAUUUUCUCUCAUCCUGAUCAAACUGAUAAAUUUGGAAGAAAAUUAGUUGUUUGUGUUUUAAAUGCAUUCAUCAAUGAUUUCAAAUCUGUCGAACUCAUCAUAGAAAGUAAACCUCCUGAAUGGUCGAAUGAUGGAGGAGUCUACCCUGCUCAACAUCUCAUUUUACUCAAAGCCAAUCAGAGAAAACAUCAGCUGUUUGGUACAGAGGACCCUUGGCCCUGUACUAAAUCCAGUCUCAAAAAACAAAUCAGACAUUGGAGAUCAAGAAUGAUUGCAAGAGACCUUGAUUCCGAGAUUUAUAGUUCUUCUAACUAUAAUCUCAUUGCUGAAGAUAAUAUUCAAAAAAUCAUCUUUGCAAAUAACUUUUAUGAAGUCCCUCUUUUGUUUCAAACUCAAUUUACUUAUCUUGUUGAUAAGUAUAAAAGAGAAUAUGUCCUUGAAGAAGAAGCCAGAAAAACUUUUGAGAAAUAUCUCUUAGAAAUGCUCAGCUAAGAGAUAUCAAGAAUCAAGAAUCUUUUGUACAUCUGUAAAGUAGCUCUCUUAUGAUUAUCCAGUAAAAAAAAAAAAAAAAAAAAAAAAAAAAAGAACAGUAUAUGAAGUCUGAAGAAGUGCACAGUGCACAGUUUGUAAGUAAAAAAAAAAAGUGAAUAGUGUUUUGUGAAUAGUAAAUCCGUCCUUUAAAGUAAAAAGCAAGAUGACUCAUUACCCAUGUGACCAAAUGAAGAAGAAGAAAGCAAAUUUACCUCCUGCAUACACGUGGAAGACAUCAAAGGCAUAAUGCCUUCUUGAAAGCCCGAAGCCUUUGCUAUAAAUAGGGCUCAAAGGCUUCCUCCCAAGGCAGAGGUCGGCAAGGGUUCAAGAGCUUGGUAGAGAGUUCCAAGAGAGAUAGUUUCAAGAGUGAAAAAAUUUGAGAGUUCAAAAUUUCUGAGAGUUCAAAAAUAUUUUCUUGUAAUUUUCUUUUUGAGUUAGAGUCAUUCCUCUGCUGUCAACAACCUGUAGUCAUCAACUCUCUGUAUUGAGGUAUAUUUUCAAUAAACAAUAUUUUAUUCAAAUAUUUGUGUUAUUAUGCUUAAAUUUCUGCAAUAAAUUAGACAGUAUUAGACAUUAAAUAUUUCUGUUUUUAUGCUUGGAGAUAAUUAGACAGAUUUAAUUAUUGCUAAUUAUUGCUUAAUUAUUACUUAAUUAUUGCGUGCAUGAACUGUUGUAUGUCCUGGGUGCAAAUGGUAUCAGAGCCAUUUUCUGUUUGAGAACCGAGUGGUGUUACGAGUUGGAACAGUGAUUAAUCGCACAUUUAGUCCUGACUUAGUUCGGGUUGAAUUUCCUAUGAACGGUUUGGUCAGCCUGUGAUAAGCGGUGUUUAAGGGCAGAAGGAGCGUAAGUCCCGUGUUGAUCCGCUUGUGGUGGUCCCUGUUCAGGAAAUUAUCUGAAUUGAUUAAGGAUAAAAUUGUGAUUAUUUUCUGUGACAAUGAGUAAUAUUAUUAGGGAAUUAAGUAGAAAUAGUUCUUCCAGAUCUCUUAGGUCCCAUGAAAGUUCUGCAUCUGCAUUAAAUAAUUCUGCAUAUAAUUUAAAAAGUUCUUCAUAUAAGAUAAUGAGAUUUUCAAUGCAUCUACUGCAUCAUCAUCUGCAUCAGUAGCUGCAUCAUCAUGGAGUCAUCAUAUAAAAUUUAAUAAUUCAAAAUUUAAUGAAGAAUUAAAUCAAAUAGAAAAUCAACUAAAAAAUAGUUCAAACUUUGUUCCUGAAAUUUCUCUUUUUGAAGAAGAGUCUGAGUCAAAAAUUUUCUUUCAAGAUAAACCUCCUUUAAACAUAAAUAUCAUUAGAAAAAAAUACAUUAAAAGAAAUCAUUUUGUUCCUGAAGUAGAAUUAAUUAAAGCAAAUUAUUUUUCUCCUGAAAAUACGGCAAAAAGAAAUUAUUUUCAACAACUUCCUCCUCAAGUUAGAAAUGCAUUAAGAAAACAAUAUGAAAAAUAUAUGCAACAAGUUAAGAUGACUAUUCCUUUUUUCCUUUGGUUUUUCAAAUAUAGGAAACCCCUUAAAAGAAUUGCAACAUUAACUUCAAGAAAAGCAAUAGAAAAUUCUCCACAUAAUAAAAAAGAGUCAAGUAAAGAAUCAAAAGAAGAAUUAAGUGAAACAAAAUUUAAUAAAAUUUUGUUUUCUUCUGCCCCGGGUGAGGUGGAGGAAACAGAAACAAAAACAAAAACAUCAACAGAAACAUCAAAACCAACAAAGAUAGAAAAUCCAAAAGAAAUCAAAAAGAUAAAUGUAAUAUCGUCAAAAGUAGAUAAGCAAAUAUUUUUUGAUGUUGUAGACAAAAUUCAAGAUAAAGAAAUACAAAGAAAUUAUUUACAAAAUUUAAAAAAUUUAAUUCUCACUGAAAAUCCAAAUAAAACUCAAGACAUCAAACCUAAUCAAUACUCAAUGGAUGAAAUUUAUAAUAGAUUCAAAAAGACUCAAAGGCCAAUAACUAUUAAAGACUUGGAAGAAGAAAUAAAAGAAAUAAAAAGUCAAAUAAAUCAAUUAAAAUUAGAUAAUGAACAAAUAAAAUUAGAAAAUGAAAUAAUAAAACAAGAAAAUGAUCAAAUAAAACAAGAGAAUGAACAAAUUAGAAACGUAAUACAAUAUAAACAAGAUUUAGCCGAAACUUCUGAAAACCAAGAACCAGGAAUAAUAAUACCUAAUAAAAUAACUCCUAUAGAAUCAUUUAUAAAUACAAUAUCAAAAAUAUAUUUUCAAAGAUGGUAUACAAAUAUAAAAAUUAUAGUUGAAGAUUUUGAAAUAGAAAUAGUAGCAUUAAUAGACUCAGGAGCUGAUAUGAAUUGUAUUCAAGAAGGAAUAAUUCCUACUAAAUAUUAUGAAAAAACAGGACAAGAACUUUUUGCUGCAAAUAAAGGAAAAUUAGAAAUAAAAUAUAAACUUCAAAAUGUUCAUAUAUGUCAAGAUAAUUAUUGUUUUAGAACUCAAUUUAUAUUAGUACAAAAUAUGAAUGAACCUCUAAUAUUAGGAACUCCUUUUAUUACCUUACUUUACCCUUUUCAAGUAAAUGAUGAAGGUGUCAAAACUACAAUAUUAGGAAAUACCAUAUUUUUUCCCUUUAUAUAUCCAUUAACUAAAAAAGAAAUACAUCAAGUUCAAAGUGAUUCAAUAAAUAAGAACAUAAAUUUAAUUCAAAGAAAGAAAGCUCAUAUAAAUUAUCUAUCAAAAGAAAUUCAAUAUAAAACUUGUUCUACAAUUUAUAAUUUAAUAGUAAAUUUUAAUUUUAUAAUUAAACUAUUUAAGAAUAAUAAAUAAAAAUAUUAUAUCAUACAAUUAAAUAUACUAAGCAAUUUGUAUUUUACUAUAUAUUUUAUACUUAUUUUUCAGUCAAAUAAAUAAUACUGAAAUUAUUGUUAAUGGCAUUAAAUACAAAUUUAAUGGGAAACAGGAUCUCAUGCUUGUUAGGUUAUCCAUGGGGAAUAAAACAGCCUAAGGUCGAUCCUAAAAAUCCUAAACUUAGAACUUAGUUUAGGGAGAAUUUUGUUUUGAGCCUAGUUGGGCCAAAAAAAUUGACUAAAGAUCCAUAUAUCAUGCACAUUUAAACCCAAGACACCAAAUAAAGUGUAAAAAUUAAGUUUAUGGAUAUUAUCCUUCAUUAAUCUUUAAAAUAGCUUUAACCCCUAUAUAGACACAUAGUGAGUGUAAAUUUCAAAUUUUUUUUUUUUUUUGUGUUGUUUUCCCUUUUCUAUUCCCAAUUAAAUAUUACUCAUUUCUAACUUUUUUAUUUUUCUUUUUUAAAGAUAUUGAAUCUUUUUACUCUUAUUAUAAGUAAGAAUAAAAAAAUUUCAUAUAAAAUUUAAUGGAUAAUCAAUGAAUGAAAUUUAAUUCUUUUUAUUAUUUUUAUAUAAAAAUAGUAUUAAACAAGGUUUUCAAUUUUUAUUUUUAAAAAUAGUUUUCAUUUUUUAAUUAAAUGUUUUUUCAAAAAGAAAAUAUAAAAAAUAUAAAUCAUAUUACCAUUUUUUUAGAAAGUAUUUUUAAAAAUAGUUUUUGAAAGUAAUUUUUCUUUAUUUAUAAUUUAAAAUAGAAAAUAAAGCUAAUUUUCAAUUAUUUAUAAAAAAAAAGUUUUAAAAAACAAUGAAAAAUCCAAAUGGUUAAAAUAGAAUUAUUAUGGUUGAAUGAAUAGUGGUGCAAUAAAAACCAAAAAAUCUUAUGUGAAAGGUCAAUGAGUAUUUUGAUCUUUUGAUAUCAUAUAUCAUUUCUAUCAAUUAUGUAAGUUAUAUGAACCAAAUCUUAAUUUUUGGACAUAGUUGGACCUAAAACACAAUUGUCCCCUUAGUUAAUGUGCAUAGACCUGUUAUUGUCUCAAGGUGGGUAGAAGAAUUGGUGACAUUAUUUGGAAGAAUGAUCAAUAAAGACGAAGAUGACUUUGUUUUCUUUGGUUGACUUUGAAACAUUGGAGUAGAAUUUGUGUCUUUCUUAGAAUGAGAGAUGACAUGGUUAAAAUAACAGUACAUAGUUAGCAAGAUCAAGGAAACAAAGUUUAAGUUGGUGACUCCAUGGUUUCAGUUGAUGUGUGGCAAAUAAUGGGUCAAUUGUCCAUUUGUAAACAUAUGAGUUCACCAAACCUUGGACUUGGAAACUCUCCAACUAUCUCAUUACUGGAAGGAAGACGACGACUAGAGUUCUCUAUAUGUAGCUUUGUUAAGUUUGAUUCAUUCUUAUGGUCAAAGUCUAUGUCGCUUUACCUCAUUGGAAAAAAAAGAAAAAAAAAACAAAUCCUUGAAGAAUUGUUUGUCUAGAAUGAUUUGAACGUUUGUUGAGUGGUCUUGUCAUUGGAAGAUUAUUAGGGAAUGAAAAUGACUACCGUUUUUAUUUUUAUUUUUUAUUUUCAUUUUUAUAUAUAGCCUUCUUGAGUUUGAUUCACUCUUAAGGUCAAGGUCUUUCAAUUGAUUGUGUCUUGUGUGAUUUGAAUGCAUGUUAACUCUAGUGGUUGGGUGACAACUCCGAUCGCCUAUUCUUUAUUUCAUUUGGAAAAAAAUUGCAUUCAACAGUUUGAAUGCCUGUUGAGUCAAGUGGUUGCCUAGCAACUUGUACAGUGUAUAUUAUUUUACAUUCUAUCAACUCUAGGUUUUUUAAGACAACCAUCCAUCCAUUCUAGGUUCAAACUUCAAAGAAGCCUUUACAGCUUUAAGACAAUCACCCGAGAAUAUGAAACCAAAUAGAUAAAUACCUUUCAUGAUUAUGGACCAAAGCUACAUUAGGGUUAGGGAUUGACUUUAUACCAUUUAUAACAAUCCGUUUCUAAUAGUGUGUAUAUUAUUCGUUCUGGACCCAAAAAGAUCCUUACGGUUUUGAAAUGCGUUCAUAUAAUUAAGAGGAACUCAUAUUUAUUCAACGUUGAAACUUUCUUUGUUCUCAUAUGUGAGAUAUCUCAAUUGUUACGAGACAGGGACAAACAUGGUUUUGAGGGUUAGUCUUGUAAUCAUCUUUAUGUUACAGAUCCUAUAUUCCUAUUUACAUUUAAUUUUUUGUAGACCUGAUCCAUGAGAACGGAGACUUGGAGAAGUCUUCCACUCCCUUUGAAAGGGCUAUUAUUAGGUAAAACAAUGGUAAGACUUUUUGUCUGUGAAGACUUGACUUGGGCUUGUUCCAGACUGGUGAAGGCACUUUCCCCUACUUCACUUUGGAAAAAAUGCACUUUUGGGUUUUGAGUUGACUGCAUUGACUUGAUACAAGUUUACAAUAAUGGCCGAGCUGAUCAAACUUACAAUUAUUAUGCAGUUUUGUUGUUGCCAAAACUUGUUACAUAUACUGGGGAUGAAGAUAACUUGUAAUCCUUUUGUUUUAUGAUAUCAGAAGUUUUUGUUUAGGCCCUUGAUAUCCAUCUUAGGCUUAAUUUUGGUGCUAUGUAUUCUUGAAAACGAAGCUGAUUGUGACUACCAUAUAUUUAGUGGAUGGCCUUGUUUUUGUUGCAUGUAUCAGUUUUGGUGAAAAUUUUGGACUCUCACUUGUAGAAUUAGAAAGGAAGCUUCGGGGAUUUGACAUUUCUUUUCUCUGGUUUGAUCAAUCCAUUUGAGCUCACCAAAUUUGACCCUUUUUAAUGGGUCACACCUCAGCUCUUCAUAAGUUUAUGGUAGGCCAAGAUUUGCCUUGGUUCCCUUUACUUUCGAGUAUAUAUGUAGCCUUUUUUUUUUUAGUAUGAAAAUCACAAUAGCUUCAUAAUAAAGCUAACUAGGGUAAAGUUUUUACCUUAAAAUAAAUAAAAAAUUGUUCUCAUUAGCAGUUUUUUGCAGGACAAGAAAAAUAUCGAAGAAAACAGGUGUUAUACGAGAAAACGGAAACUUGAACAUGAAUAAACCAUUAAUCUCAUUGUUUAACAAUGCUAUAUUUAGAACAUCAAAUCUUUGAUGUUCAAGCCUUCAAUCCUCUUAUCCUUGCACAUUGUCAGCCGGUACCCGAGGUGCAAUUUUCUAUUCACCCACAAAAAGUCUUUUUGAUAUUUUUACAACUUUAUCAAUUACUCGAACGAAAUUUAGUUAUGGAAAAGAACUGGGACUUUUGAAGAUGCAUUACAUUGUGUUGAAGAUGCAGGAGGUUCGAAACCAUGCAUUAUUGGUAGACUAGGUAGAGUUCCACUCAAAUUAUUUCUUACCUUGCUAAAUUCUCUGUGACAACAUCUGAGAAAUAAUCUCCAUGGUUGGCCUGGAUUGUGGAUUGGCAUUUAAACAUGCAGUUGCGAGCUUUAUGAUAGCUACCACUUCCCCUUCGUCUUGGGGUGUGAGAGGUGGGAGUCGCGGGUCCAACAUGUCUUUCAACACUAUGUUCUUCUCUGGGGAAACUGAUAUAGACAAGAUUUGAUCUCCAGGAUGUCUUCCUUUGAUAACUUCCAGUGCUAUCACUCCAAAGCUAUAGACAUCGGUUUUUUCUGUGACCUUCAUUGUAUAAGCAUGCUCUGCAAAAUUAGAAGAUAAAUAUUACAUCGUGAGCAUGUUAGAUUUCUUUGUUAGUUGAGGAGUGAAGUGUACCUGGUGCAACGUAUCCGACUGUGCCUGCAAGUUUGCUCUGAUUUGAUGAGUCUACCUUAAGAAGCUUGGCAGUGCCCAAGUUAGAAAUAUGAGCCUCAUAUUGAGAAUCCAGCAGAAUAUUGUUGCUCGAUAUAUCCCGAUGAACAAUCGGGGGUGAGCAAUCAUGGUGCAUGUAAGACAAAGCGUGAGCCACUCCUUUGAUGAUCUUGACCCUUGUAGCCCAACCCAAUUUUUUAGCUUCUUCUCUGCUCAAGAUUGUAGCCAAGCUACCUCUUUCAAGGUACUCAUAGACCAAAAAGGAGUGUCGUGGAUAUGAACAGAAACCAAGAAGUCUCACAAUGUUUCGAUGCUUGAUCUCUGUCAUUGCCCUUACUUUAUUCAAGAAAUCCUUUUGAUUUGCCAUAUCCAUGUCGGAUGGGUGAAGCUUCUUCACAGCUACUAUAUUACCUGAUGGCAGCUCUGCUUUGUAAACGCUUCCAUGCCCUCCCUUUCCGAUGCAAUACAUGGGAUCAAAGUCCUUGGUGGCCUUUAUAAUCUCUUCAUACAUUGCUCUUCCAUCAAAAGUUGAUAUUGAGAGGAGAUUAUUCUGUACAUCACCUUCUUCGAUUUCUGGAGUUCUCUCUCUUCUUUCAGCAAUCAAGAAAAUCCCAAUGAAAGCAGAAAGAAGUACAAGUGCUCCCAAAAGAGGGAAUAUGAUAAUAAACACAACUUUGUGGCUCUUUUUGACAGGUUGUUGGUCUACUCCAAAACCAUAUUUGCAAGGUUGCAACCCUUUAACAUUGCCGCACAAAUCUUUGUUCCCCUUUAGCACCUCAAUGGUAGCAUUUCGAAAUGCAUUGCUGUGAGGAAUGGGACCCUGCAACUGAUUGUAGGAAAUGUCAACAUACGACAAGGCAGGCAUGUCCUCAAAAGCCUUUGGGAUGAAACCACAAAGGUUGUUAUGGGAGAGAUCAAGCAUCUCCAAACUCUCCAAACCUUGGAUCUGUGCCGGGAUGCCACCUGUAAGCAAGUUGUGACUCAGAUCUAGCUGGGAGAGGUGACUCAGCUUACCCAUCUGAACCGGAAUUCCGUGGCUGAGUUUGUUAUUGCUCAGGUUCAAGUAAUGCAAGUCCAAGCAGUCGCCCAAGUGCUCUGGUAUUGACCCAUUCAAUCUAUUGGCUGAAAGGUCUAGAUACUCAAGGUGGGACAGCGAUCCAAGUUCAGGAGGAAUACUCCCGGAAAGUUGGUUGUCAUUCAAUAUCAGCCCCAACAGAGAAGUCAAACUUCCCAUUUUCUUUGGAAUUUCCCCAACCAAAUGAUUUGAAGAAAGAUCAAGCAAGAUUAGAUUAGUUGAGAUUCCAAAAUCUUCUGGUAUGCUCCCUGUAAUAUUGUUCCCGGCAAUCUCCAGCCUUUGUAGUUGUGGGCAUCUUCCCCAGUUAUGAGAGAGUUCACCAUGAAACCUGUUGUAGCUCAAAUCGAUGAAUUCCAGGUUUGGACAGUCACCAACUACCUCAGAUACAUUUCCAGUGAGUCGGUUUCCCUGGAACAGAGCUCUGGUUAAGUUUCUGCAAUUUUUCAAGCUUUUGGGGAUGGGACCACUGAGAUGGUUGUCACUCACUGUAAAGCGCUCCAGAGAUCCACCUUGGCAAAUGCCUUCCGGUAAAGAGCCAAACAGCUGGUUUGUGUCGAUUUCUAGCACAACCAACUUAUGAAGUUUCCCAAUUUCUUGAGGAAAGUAACCAGAAAGACGGUUAUCACGGAGGAAUAAAAUUUCUAAGUUGGUUAGAUUACCCAGUGAAGUAGGAAUGGAACCAUUGAGUUGAUUUUCUGAAAGUUCUAGAUCAACAAGAGACUUCAAGUUACCUAUUUCUUGAGGAAUGGGACCGGAAAGUUGAUUGGCAUAGAGAUGCAGGAGGGUUAGGCCACUCAGAUCACAUAAUGACACAGGGAUUGGGCCUGAAAGAUUGUUUCCGUAGAGGCUUAGACCUUGCAGGGAUUUCAAAUUUCCUAUUUCUGGUGGGAUAGGCCCAGAGAGGCUAUUGUUGAACAAGUACAACACGGUUAAAUGUUUCAAAUUUCCAAAAGUGGAAGGGAUGGGACCUGUGAGAUUGUUGGUAUCCGAGUAUAGCUGAACAAGGUUGGUGAGAUUUCCCAUUUCUGGAGGAAUGGAACCCGAAAGUUGAUUUUCAUAGAGAUACAAAGAGGCCAAGUUGCUCAAAUUACCCAAAGAAGCAGGAAUAGAACCCUCCAGUUGGUUGGUGUACAAAGCAAGCUCAUAAAGAGACGUCAACUGACCUAUUUCAUGAGGAAUUGAACCAUUCAACUGAUUUUGAACCAGGUGUAAGACCUCAAGAUUAGUUAAUAGGCCGAUCUCGGGCGGAAUCCCUCCUGAGAACUGGUUGAUAGAGAGAUCAAGGUAUUUGAGCUUGGAGAGGAGACCGAUUUGGGGUGGGAUAGGACCAGAGAGGUUGUUCAUGCUGAUAUCAACAUACGCAAGAUUGGGAAAAGAUGAGAAUGAGAAGGCUUGGAGCGUACCUCCUAAACCCGACUCUGUGAGGUUUAUUCUGAUGACGCUCCCUGCAUGGUUGCAGGAUAUUCCGUACCAUUUGCAUGGACUGACUUCUGUUCCAAGGUGGGUAGAAGAAUUGGUGAAGUUGUUAGGAUAAAGAGUCCACGAAAGGAGGGAAGAAUGGUUAUGGUUGUGAAGGGUAGCUUUCCAUUUGAGGAGAGCUUGUGUUUCUUCAUUAGAAUAAGAAGAAACAUGGUCUGAAGAAAUCAACAUAACCAAGAGGAGCAAGGAAACAAGGGAGAGCAUUUUCUGUAAGGUUGAGGGUGCCAUGGUUUUGGUUGAUGAAUUGCAUAUGCUGCUUCACAACUUCAUUUAUACACAUUUGGUUCCUUUGUUCGUCCCACUCGGAAACUUCCUUGUUCACACUUCACACCAAUUAAAAUUCAGCCCUUUAAUGUCAAGAUUGAGGUCUUUUAAAGCAUGGCUCCCUUUUUCUUUCUUUUUGCCUGGGGUUCCCUUUCUACUAGCAUGGUGGUCUUCCUAUAUCUUUGUGGUCGUCGAAGUCUUCUCCGGUCUCUUUCAAAAUGAAUAAUGACGAUGAAGGUUGGUUGGAGACUAACGCUCUCUUUGACAAUUAUUUUGGACAACAGAGCAGGUUUAGUAAUAAAAAAAUUAUUUUUUAUUUUUUAUUCUUAAACACAGAAAAUGAUAUGUUUUUUAGGGACUUUUUUUUUAAUUAUCAUCAAUUAUUUUGAUUUGUUUUUUAAAAAUUAUUUUAAAAAAUAACUAUAAAAAAUGGAGAAUAAUUAAAAAAAAUGGACAAAAAUUUUAUUUUUAAAAAUAUUUAAAAACAUUAAAUAUGUGAUAAAAAUAUUUAAGAUUUCUAAAUACAUUUUUAUUUUACCAUUCAUCAAAGAACUGCCGUUAAAAACUGUUAUAAAAAAAUAGUUGUUAAAGAUAACUUAAUUUUAUUUGAAUCUUUGUUUUUAUCUUUACGAUGAUCUUCUUCUUUUACUCUUUGUAAAAGAAAACCGAACUUGAAAAUUUGUUUCAGUUAAGUAAUUAUAAAAGAAAAUUUUAGUCUACUUAAUAACUAAGUUGAUUUAUUAAAACUUAAUAAUUAAUAUUUACCCUAGGCUUGGUUUUUAGAAAAUUUUAAAUGAAUUGAAUAUGAAAAAAAAAUGAAGUUUUAAAAAGAAAAAAACAAAAUUUAAGUUAAUAAAUUAUUUUUAUAUGUUUUUAAAUUUUAUUUGAAUGAUUUAUUUUUAUAUAAAGAAUAAAUAAUUUAAAAAUGCUUAAAUUUUUAAAUGAUUUUAAUUAUAUUUAAUUUAUUUAUUUUUAUGUAUUUUACAUUUUAAUAUUUAUUAUAAUAUGAAAUAUCAUAUGUUUAUUAUUAUUUGAAAUUGCUUUACAAUUUAUAAUUUAAUAGGAAAUUUUAAUUUAUUUAUUGAUAGUAUUCAUAAUUAAACUAUUUAAAACUUAUAAAUAAAAAAUAGUAUAUUAUAUAAUUAAAACAAUUUGUAUAGAUUAAAAUACUGUAGUAAUGAUAUAUAUUAGUAUUUUACUGUGUAUUUUAUACUUAUUUUUCAGUUAAUUUAAUUUUAAUUUUAAUUUUUAAUUUUUAAUUUUAAUUAAAACAAUUUAACUUUAAUUUUUUAAUUAUUAUUUUUUUAACUUUUAAGUAAUAUAAAAAAAAUUAAAGAAAAAUAAAAGGAAAUGGAUAAGAAAAGUAAAUCCGUGAUUCGGCCCAUUCCAGUCCACAGUUACCGCCGACGACACCGACGUCAGUCAACCGGCAACCGCGACGCCGCCUCAGCAGCGCAGUCACUGCCGCCAUCUCCGGAAACUCCACAGCACCACUCCUUUCCACCCAGAUGCCACGCGCCGUCGCUCACGGCAUCUCCGCCCGUGGCCUUGCCAUUCAAGGCGCCGCUCCGUCGCCGACUCCUUCCACACCCACCCCAUUCACUAACGCCAAGACCACCAUGGUCUCGGCCACUGCCUCUGGUAGCCAACAUGGCUGCCAUCUUCAUCCUCCAUCUCACCUCUCCGCCGUACCCCACUACCAAUCUCCUUCGGCCUCCAUGAUCCCCAUCUCCGCCGCUGAACCCAUCACCCUACCGGCGCCAACAUCUUUUCUUCUUUAUUUAUUUAUUUAUUUAUUCCAGUGCUGCUCAUAUAUUUUGAUAUGUAAAUAUUUAAUUUGUUAAUUAGAAAAUACAUGAGUAGCAGUCUUGGUAGAUGAAUGGAUGAAUUUUCUGCAUGAGUAGCAGAGAUUUAUCUACUUCUAUUCACACAAAACCACACUUUAUUUCUUUGGGCACAAAGCCACAAUUUCUAUGAGUACAAAUCACACCGGGUACUUGAUGUAGAAAGAAAGACUAAACAAACUCAAAAGGCAUUACAUAGUGCUGAAGAUGCAGGAGGUUCGAAACCAUGUGUUACGGUAGACUAGGUAGAGUUCCCCACAAACUAAAUCUUACCUUACUACUUUCUCUGUGAUAACAUCUGAGAAACAGUCUGCAUGGUUGGCCUGGAUUGCGGGUUGGCUUUUAAGCAUUCAAUUGCUUGCUUUAGGAUAGCUAUCACUUCCCCCUCAUCCUGGGGUGUGAGAGGUGGGAGUCGGGGGUCCAACAUGUCUUCCAACGCUAUGUUAUCCUUCUCUGGGGAAACUGAUAGAGACAAGAUCUGAUCUCCAGGAUGUCUUCCUUUGAUAACUUCCAGUGCUAUUACUCCAAAGCUAAAGACAUCAGUUUUUUCGGUCACCUUCAUUGUAUAAGCAAGCUCUGCAAAAUUAAAAGAUAAAUAUUAUAUCGUGGACAUGUUUCAUACCUUGUUUAAUUCAAGAGUGAACCGUACCUGGUGCAAGAUAUCCGAAUGUGCCUGCAAGUAUGCUCUGAUUCGAUGAGUCUAGCUUUAGAAGCUUGGCAGUGCCGAAGUCAGAAAUAUGAGCUUCAUACUGAGAAUCCAGCAGAAUAUUGUUGCUUGAUACAUCCCGAUGAACAAUAGGGGGUGAGCAAUCAUGGUGCAUGUAAGCCAAAGCAUGAGCCACUCCUUUAAUGAUAUUGACCCUUGUAGCCCAACCCAAUUUCUUAGCUUCUUCUCUGCUCAAGAUUGUAGCCAGGCUACCUCUUUCAAGGUACUCGUAGACCAAAAACUUGUGUCGUGGAUGUGAACAGAAACCAAGAAGUUUCACUAUGUUUCGAUGCUUGAUUUCUGUUAGUGCCCUUAUUUCAUUUAAGAAAUCCUUUUGAUUUGCCAUCUCUGUGUCGGAUGGGUGAAGCUUCUUCACAGCUACUAUAUUACUUGAUGGCAGCUCUGCUUUGUAAACACUUCCAUGGCCUCCCUUUCCUAUGCAAUACAUGGGAUCAAAAUCCUUGGUGGCCUUUAUAAUCUCUUCAUACAUUGUUCUUCCAUCAAAAUUUGAUAUUGAAAAGAGAUCAUUCUGUACGUCACCUUCUUCGAUUUCUGGAGUUCUCUCUCUUCUUUCAGCAAUCAAGAAAAUCCCAAUGAAAGCAAAAAGAAGUACAAGUGCUCCCAAAAGAGGGAAUAUGAUAAUAAACACAACUUUGUGGCUCUUUUUGACAGGUUGUUGGUCUACUCCAAAACCAUAUUUGCAAGGUUGCAACCCUUUAACAUUGCCGCACAAAUCUUUGUUCCCCUUUAGCACCUCAAUGGUAGCAUUUCGAAAUGCAUUGCUGUGAGGAAUGGGACCCUGCAACUGAUUGUAGGAUAUGUCAACAUACGACAAGGCAGGCAUGUCCUCAAAAGCCUUUGGGAUGAAACCACAAAGGUUGUUAUGGGAGAGAUCAAGCAUCUCCAAGCUUUGCAAACCUUGGAUCUGUGGCGGGAUGCCACCUGCAAGCAAGUUGUGACUCAGAUCUAGCUGGGAGAGGUGACUCAGCUUACCCAUCUGAACCGGAAUUCCGUGGCUGAGUUUGUUAUUGCUCAGGUUCAAGUAAUGCAAGUCCAAGCAGUCGCCCAAGUGCUCUGGUAUUGACCCAUUCAAUCUAUUGGCUGAAAGGUCUAGAUACUCAAGGUGGGACAGCGAUCCAAGUUCAGGAGGAAUACUCCCGGAAAGUUGGUUGUCAUUCAAUAUGAGCCCCAACAGAGAAGUUAAACUUCCCAUUUUCUUUGGAAUUUCCCCAACCAAAUGAUUUGAAGAAAGAUCAAGCAAGGUUAGAUUAGUUGAGAUUCCAAAAUCUUCUGGUAUGCUCCCUGUAAUAUUGUUCCCGGCAAUCUCCAGCCUUUGUAGUUGUGGGCAUCUUCCCCAGUUAUGAGAGAGUUCACCAUGAAACCUGUUGUAGCUCAAAUCGAUGAAUUCCAGGUUUGGACAGUCACCAACUACCUCAGAUAUAUUUCCAGUGAGUCGGUUUCCCUGGAACAGAGCUCUGGUUAAGUUUCUGCAAUUUUUCAAGCUUUUGGGGAUGGGACCACUGAGAUGGUUGUCACUCACUGCAAAGCGCACCAGAGAUCCAGCUUGGCAAAUGCCUUCCGGUAAAGAGCCAAACAGCUGGUUUGUGUCGAUUUCUAGCACAACCAACUUAUGAAGUUUCCCAAUUUCUUGAGGAAUGUAACCAGAAAGUUGAUUAUCACGGAGGAAUAAAAUUUCUAAAUUGGUUAGAUUACCCAGUGAAGUAGGAAUGGAACCAUUGAGUUGAUUUUCAGAAAGUUCUAGAUCAACAAGAGACUUCAAGUUUCCUAUUUCUUGAGGAAUGGGACCGGAAAGUUGAUUGGCAUAGAGAUGCAGGAGGGUUAGGCCACUCAGAUCACAUAAUGACACAGGGAUUGGACCAGAAAGAUUGUUUUCGUAGAGGCUUAGCUCUUGCAGGGAUUUCAAAUUUCCUAUUUCUGGUGGGAUAGGCCCAGAGAGGCUAUUGUUGAACAAGUACAACACGGUUAAACGUUUCAAAUUUCCAAAAGUGGAAGGGAUGGGACCUGUGAGAUUGUUGUUAUUCGAGUAUAUCUCAACAAGGUUGGUGAGAUUUCCCAUUUCUGGAGGAAUGGAACCCGAAAGUUGAUUUUCAUAGAGAUACAAAGAGGCCAAGUUGCUCAAAUUACCCAAAGAAGCAGGAAUAGAACCCUCCAGUUGGUUGGUGUACAAAGCAAGCUCAUAAAGAGAUGCCAACUGACCUAUUUCAUGAGGAAUUGAACCAUUGAGCUGAUUUUGAACCAGGUGCAGGACCUCAAGAUUAGUUAAUAGGCCAAUUUCUGACGGAAUCCCUCCUGAGAACUGGUUGAUGGACAGAUCAAGGUAUUUGAGCUCGAAGAGGAGACCGAUUUGGGGUGGGAUAGGACCAGAGAGGUUGUUCAUGCUGAUAUCAACAUAUGCAAGAUUAGGAAAAGAUGAGAAUGAGAAGUCCAUGAGCGUACCAUUUAAACCCGACUCUGUGAGGUUUAUUUUGAUGACACUUCCCGCAUGGUUGCAGGAUAUCCCAUACCAUUUGCAUGGACUGGUUGCCGUUCCAAGGUGGGUAGAAGAAUUGGUGGAGUUGUUAGGAUAAAGAUCCCACGAAAGGAGGGAAGAAUGGUUGUGGUUUUGAAGGCUAGCUUUCCAUUUGAGAAGAGCUUGUGUUUCUUCAUUAGAAUAAGAAGAAACAUGGUCUGAAGAAAUCAACAUAACCAAGAGGAGCAAGGAAACAAGGGAGAGCAUUUUCUGUAAGGUUGAGGAUGCCAUGGUUAUGGUUGAUGUAUUGCAUGUACUGCUUCACAACUCUAUUUAUACACCUUUGGUUCCUUAGUUCCCACCCUUUCUGAAAGUAAUUCACAAGUCUUUGUAGUCAGAAACUGUCUUGUUCAUACCCAUUCAAACGGCUUUUUAGGUUAAGAUUAAGGUCUUUGCAUGUCUCAUUCCUGCCUAUUUCAUGGGUACACUUUCUACUAAUAUGUUGGUCUUCCUAUAUCUUUAUGGUCAUCGGAGUCUUCUCCUCCUUUCCAAAAGAAAAGUGAACUUGAAGGCUGGUUGGAAUUAAAUGAUUUGUU